rnacentral:RNase_MRP_RNA from 1 species
AGGUUUGCUCUCUGGGCUACAAACAGAGUAUUUGAUUUCUCAUAACUUUGCCCAUGGUAAAGUCCCCGGAACCAUGGUAGAAAGUGCUCUGGUUGAAACCAGUGUUGACUUGCAUUAAUCUAGCAGCGGCUAAGACAUUCAUGUGAACAGAGCCCUGAAAUCGCUUGUCGACUUUGUCAGAGUUAAUAGUAAUGCAAACGUUCUGCAUGUAACUCUUCAAUAGAACAGGGCCUAUUC